rnacentral:rRNA from 1 species
UACGUAGGGGGCUAGCGUUGUCCGGAAUCAUUGGGCGUAAAGAGCGUGUAGGCGCUUUGCAAGUCGGAUGUGAAAUCCCUCGGCUUAACCAAGGAAGUGCAUCCGAAACUGCAAAGCUUGAGUACUUAAGAGGAUCGCGGAAUUCCCGGUGUAGAGGUGAAAUUCGUAGAUAUCGGGAGGAACACCAGUGGCGAAGGCGGCGAUCUGGGAGAUACUGACGCUGAGGUGCGAAAGCGUGGGGAGCAA